rnacentral:lncRNA from 1 species
AUCUUUAUUGCUAAGCUGCUUGCAGCCCAAAAUUUUGAUAUGUGAAAUUUUGAGAGCUGCAUUUUGUGCAACAAUUGCAUUUGUACAACAGUGCCAGCUUGAAUUACAAAAACAAAUCACUGAACAACUCAAUUUUUUUUUUGUUCAGUGAUAUAGCCAUUACAAUCCACAUUGAUUCCUACUUUCUACACAAAAUAUCAACAACACACAUACAAGUCUUGAUUGCUAAACAAAUUUUCUAUUUUAUAUGAAGAUACUGUAUAUACAAUGCUUGAAACAGAUAAGAAGUUAAGAAACUGAGUAAGAAACUGUCUAGACUUGACAUAUUGCUUUAGCAACUUUGGAUGUCAGUGGUCAUAUAUUAAGAAAUUUAGUGGGAAAAAAUGAACAGUCACUAUAUAGUACACUUUAUUAGGCCUUGACUUCCUCAGCUGGUUCAGCAUCAUUUUCAACUUUUUGUUUCUUAAGGUACUCCUCACCUUCCUUAAUUACACAAAAUUAAAAAAAAUAAAUUAGCCAACAUACCAGAUACCACACUAUAUUAUUGAAUGUAGCUAAGUGCAAAUUGUCCAAAUCAAGGUCAAUGCUUAUUGAGUAAAGUCUCCAGUGGAUAUCACUGUGCAAAUGAAGUCAAGAAAAUUCUUGAUCUCAUGCAUGGCUUCAGUCAGCUAGAGUACAAAAGCAACAAAGUAAGGAUGGGCAUUGAUUGCAGAACUGGAAAAUGUCAGGCGAAAUUUUAAACAAAAUAUCUUUUUGGUAAAUUUCUUACAUUUUGCAGGAAAUUUUUGCCCUAUAUAUGCCAUUUACUUAUUGUUUACAAAAGAAAUUUUGCAAGUCGAGAUUGUCUUGUGCCGAGAUUGAAGUUUAUAACACUGUGCACCACCACACAUUCUCUGAAAUGUACAUAUGCAGAAAGUUUUAUUUUUGACAUACACAGAUAAUUUAGAUUUUUGCUGGGAGGAAGUGAAAUAUAUUUUCUAGGCCUGGUGCAUUGGGGUAUAUUGGGGCUUUCCAGCUAGGUUAAAGAGAGAUAUACACAGGCAGAUAUAGAAAUAUCCUAGAGAGAAAAAAAACAUUGCCAUUACAAAUGGGAUUCAAACAUGCCUCUUUUGGUUUCUUGAACACUGCUCUACACAUUGACUUUUUGAGGCAGUGGGAAUUGGUUAUUGGUAGCAUGUUUUAUCCAACUUAAGUGCCAUAAGAACACUUUUUUGUUUUCUUCAGUGUCAGAAUUAAUUUGAAAUCAUUUUUCAGUCUGGUUCACCCAAUACUUUCCCCUUUAUGAAUGAAUUGCCUGAUGUUAGACAAAGUAAAAUAACAAAAUAGGGUGUACAAGGAUAGAUUGUAGCAAUCGUCCAGCCAGGGAUGGAUCCAGCAUGAUCUAGCUGGUAGGUGCUCUGCCAGCUCUGGUGCCGAGUUAUGUCGGCCAUGUGUGCCGCCCGCCCAUCAACUUGCUUGACUCUGCAAAUCUUGCUUGACUACUGUAUUUGAAUUGUUGUUCACGGUUCACUUAUCAUCAUGUUAUCACUCAAAUUACUGCAUCUCAUUUUGUCUCUAAUAAUUUUUUUUGCUUUAUCAUGAAAAAUACACCCCCUCUGGCCAGGGCUAGGGGGUGGCAACCCCCACAAAUCCAUCCCUGCAUCCAGCAUCACAUGCUCAUCCCUUGAUUGCUUUGACUCCCCUCCCCUGGAAAAGCCAGCUAGCAUUUGAUUCAGUUUAAUAAUUGCAUAUAUAUUCUCUGCCACCCUAUUAAACACACUCACAAUGUACAACAAUUAAAUCCAUGACUAUGGGAUGAAAUAUAUGGAACAUUUCAUGUAAAAAUCUACAGGCCUUGUAGAAAUUUAAGCUAGGCAAAUGUGCAUCAAAUAGAAAAAUCAACAAACUUGAGAUUUUUAGCACUAAAAGACCCUCUAUCCCCAAAAUGUUGCAAAGUGUCCGAACAUUGACUGAACAGUGGCUUGUGUUUUGUCCGAACUUUGAAAUAACUGCUAGGCUACCACUGACUCACAAACAGGUUAAUUGACACAUUGGGAAAUGAAUUAUAAUUAGAUUUCCCCACAUGGUUUUGACCUUGUAUUUAUCAAACAAUAGAACACAUGGCAGCAAACCAAGCUCCCUGCUAGUUCAAUGCUGCAAUAGGAAUAAAAAACUUUUCCUUCAACUAAAAACACAGCUUAUACAAGUAAAAAUAACCAUUCUAUCACUUUACUGUUUAAUUUAAUAUUCUCAAGUAUUUGCCUAAAUGGUUUAAAAAAACAAUUAUAUUGAGAACAUGUGUCAUCCGAUCACUGGCAAAAAUGCACAAAGCCGCGUGUAUUUAAUUGUAUUCACAAAUUUUUAAAACAAGCAAGUAAACUGGACAAUGAAUUCAAUCUAGUUUUAAACUUUUAAUCACUUGUUUUUAUAAUACUGUGCGGAAUAUGCUGGUGAAUUAAAUGGAAUGGAAUUAUAAACAACAAGAAAACUACCGGAUUGUGUAUACAAUACAAGCAAAUCCGUGGUUUCUAUCAAUGAGAAAAAGCAAGUUAAAUGAAGUCGAAUUUGUUUUAAACAAAGCCUAUUAGAAUGAAGCUCAAUAGCGUUUAGAAUUGACCGCAAAGUACAAAACUACGUACUUUCCCUUUCUUUGCACGAGAGCGUAGUUUAACGAAUUUUGAGCAAAGGCGGGCGAAGUGAUUAUAGAAUACCCGGCCAUUUUUUUCCUGUUCGUUUACACACACAACAAAACACAGGAAUUAUUUGGAAAAAGUUGAACUGAAAGUUUAAAGCGUGAGAAUAUGCAAUUUUGAUCAAAUUUGACACGCGCAUUUCAAGAACAAGGCAGUUAAUACAAAAUGAAAUACUUUCAGCAAAUUAGUAAAGUUUAUAAAUACAAGGGAUUAAAGAUCACAUAUCAAACGUUAAUAACAA